GGGUCAGUAGGUUGGUCGUGCCACCGGUACGUACUGGUCUCACUGAUUCCUCCCUCCUGAUGAACCGUAAUGCCAUUAAUUUGGUGUUGCGGGGAAACAGGACUGUUACUUUGAGAAAAUUAGAGUGUUUAAAGCAAGCUAACGCUUGGAUACAUUAGCAUGGAAUAAUGAAAUAGGACGAUCGAUCCUAUUUUGUUGGUUUCUAGGAUUGACGUA
rnacentral:rRNA from 1 species